rnacentral:rRNA from 1 species
GACGAACGCUGGCGGCGUGCUUAACACAUGCAAGUCGAACGGAAAGGCCUGCUUUCCCUUGUGGAUUGCGGGUACUCGAGUGGCGAACGGGUGAGUAACACGUGAGUGAUCUGCCCCCAACUUGGGUAUAAGCCUGGGAAACUGGGUCUAAUUCCCGAUAGGACUGCAGGGUGGUGCCUGUUGUGGAAAACGAUUUUCUAGUGGUUGGGGAUGAGCUCGCGGCCUAUCAGCUUGUUGGUGGGGUAAUGACCUACCAAGGCGGCGACGGGUAGCCGGCCUGAGAGGGUGGACGGGCACAUUGGGACUGAGAUACGGCCCAGACUCCGACGGGAGGCAGCAGUGGGGAAUAGUGCACAAUGGGCGGAAGCCUGAUGCAGCGACGCAGCGUGGGGGAUGACGGCCUUCGGGUGGUAAACUCCUUUCGACCGCGAGGAAGCCACCUGGUUGGAAGGGUGGUGACGGUAGUGGUAGAAGAAGCACCGGCUAACUACGUG